rnacentral:rRNA from 1 species
GAUGAACGCUGGCGGCGUGCCUAAUACAUGCAAGUCGAGCGAACGGACGAGAAGCUUGCUUCUCUGAUGUUAGCGGCGGACGGGUGAGUAACACGUGGAUAACCUACCUAUAAGACUGGGAUAACUUCGGGAAACCGGAGCUAAUACCGGAUAAUAUUUUGAACCGCAUGGUUCAAAAGUGAAAGACGGUCUUGCUGUCACUUAUAGAUGGAUCCGCGCUGCAUUAGCUAGUUGGUAAGGUAACGGCUUACCAAGGCAACGAUGCAUAGCCGACCUGAGAGGGUGAUCGGCCACACUGGAACUGAGACACGGUCCAGACUCCUACGGGAGGCAGCAGUAGGGAAUCUUCCGCAAUGGGCGAAAGCCUGACGGAGCAACGCCGCGUGAGUGAUGAAGGUCUUCGGAUCGUAAAACUCUGUUAUUAGGGAAGAACAUAUGUGUAAGUAACUGUGCACAUCUUGACGGUACCUAAUCAGAAAGCCACGGCUAACUACGUGCCAGCAGCCGCGGUAAUACGUAGGUGGCAAGCGUUAUCCGGAAUUAUUGGGCGUAAAGCGCGCGUAGGCGGUUUUUUAAGUCUGAUGUGAAAGCCCACGGCUCAACCGUGGAGGGUCAUUGGAAACUGGAAAACUUGAGUGCAGAAGAGGAAAGUGGAAUUCCAUGUGUAGCGGUGAAAUGCGCAGAGAUAUGGAGGAACACCAGUGGCGAAGGCGACUUUCUGGUCUGUAACUGACGCUGAUGUGCGAAAGCGUGGGGAUCGAACAGGAUUGGAUACCCUGGUAGUCCACGCCGUAAACGAUGAGUGCUAAGUGUUAGGGGGUUUCCGCCCCUUAGUGCUGCAGCUAACGCAUUAAGCACUCCGCCUGGGGAGUACGACCGCAAGGUUGAAACUCAAAGGAAUUGACGGGGACCCGCACAAGCGGUGGAGCAUGUGGUUUAAUUCGAAGCAACGCGAAGAACCUUACCAAAUCUUGACAUCCUUUGACAACUCUAGAGAUAGAGCCUUCCCCUUCGGGGGACAAAGUGACAGGUGGUGCAUGGUUGUCGUCAGCUCGUGUCGUGAGAUGUUGGGUUAAGUCCCGCAACGAGCGCAACCCUUAAGCUUAGUUGCCAUCAUUAAGUUGGGCACUCUAAGUUGACUGCCGGUGACAAACCGGAGGAAGGUGGGGAUGACGUCAAAUCAUCAUGCCCCUUAUGAUUUGGGCUACACACGUGCUACAAUGGACAAUACAAAGGGCAGCGAAACCGCGAGGUCAAGCAAAUCCCAUAAAGUUGUUCUCAGUUCGGAUUGUAGUCUGCAACUCGACUACAUGAAGCUGGAAUCGCUAGUAAUCGUAGAUCAGCAUGCUACGGUGAAUACGUUCCCGGGUCU